GUUGAAACACAGUUUCCUAUAUGAUCAUCAAAGUUAAGCAACUUUGAGUGUGGUCAGUACCUUGAUGGGUGACUUCUUGGGAAUACCAGGUGCUGUAAG